GCCGCCAUGGUGAAAUUGGUAGACACGCUGCUCUUAGGAAGCAGUGCUCAAGCAUCUUGGUUUGAAUCCGAGUGGCGGCA
rfam:Triticum aestivum genome assembly, contig: Triticum_aestivum_CS42_TGACv1_scaffold_406660_5BL